rnacentral:tRNA from 1 species
UUAAUUGAAGCCAAAAUAGAGGCUUUUCAUUGUUAAUGAAAAGAAUGAUUUAUAUUAUAAUCCAAUUAAA